GACGAACGCUGGCGGCGUGCUUAACACAUGCAAGUCGAACGGAAAGGCCUGCUUUCCCUUGUGGAUUGCGGGUACUCGAGUGGCGAACGGGUGAGUAACACGUGAGUGAUCUGCCCCCAACUUGGGUAUAAGCCUGGGAAACUGGGUCUAAUUCCCGAUAGUACUGCAGGGUGGUGCCUGUGGUGGAAAACGAUUUUCUAGUGGUUGGGGAUGAGCUCGCGGCCUAUCAGCUUGUUGGUGGGGUAAUGGCCUACCAAGGCGGCGACGGGUAGCCGGCCUGGGAGGGUGGACGGCCACAUUGGGACUGGGAUACGGCCCAGACUCCUGCGGGAGGCAGCAGUGGGGCAUAUUGCAGAAUGGGCGGAAGCCUGAUGCAGCGACGCCGCGUGGGGGAUGACGGCCUUCGGGUUGUAAACUCCUUUCGACCGCGAGGAAGCCACCUGGUUGGAAGGGUGGUGACGGUAGUGGUAGAAGAAGCACCGGCUAACUACGUG
rnacentral:rRNA from 1 species